rnacentral:rRNA from 1 species
UACGUAGGGUGCAAGCGUUAAUCGGAAUUACUGGGCGUAAAGCGUGCGCAGGCGGUGAUGUAAGACAGUUGUGAAAUCCCCGGGCUCAACCUGGGAACUGCAUCUGUGACUGCAUUGCUGGAGUGCGGCAGAGGGGGAUGGAAUUCCGCGUGUAGCAGUGAAAUGCGUAGAUAUGCGGAGGAACACCGAUGGCGAAGGCAAUCCCCUGGGCCUGCACUGACGCUCAUGCCCGAAAGCGUGGGGAGCAAACAGG